rnacentral:rRNA from 1 species
UACGGAGGGUGCGAGCGUUGUCCGGAAUCACUGGGCGUAAAGGGCGCGUAGGCGGCGCGGAUAGUCGGCGGUGAAAGCCCGGAGCUCAACUCCGGGUCGGCCGUCGAUACGGGCAGGCUAGAGGUAGGUAGGGGAGAAUGGGAUUCCCGGUGUAGCGGUGAAAUGCGCAGAUAUCGGGAGGAACACCGGUGGCGAAGGCGGUUCUCUGGGCCUUACCUGACGCUGAGGAGCGAAAGCGUGGGGAGCGAACAGG